AGCGACGCCGCGUGAGGAUGAGGGUCUUCGGAUUGUAAACUCCUGUCAUUGGUGAACAAGGCCCUCGGUUAACUGCCGUUGGGUUUGAUAGUAGCCGAAGAGGAAGAGACGGCUAACUCUGUGCCAGCAGCCGCGGUAAUACAGAGGUCUCAAGCGUUGUUCGGAUUCAUUGGGCGUAAAGGGUGCGUAGGUGGCGACGCAAGUCUGGUGUGAAAUCCCGGGGCUCAACCCCGGAACUGCACUGGAUACUGCGUUGCUUGAGCACUGGAGAGGGAACUGGAAUUUACGGUGUAGCAGUGAAAUGCGUAGAUAUCGUAAGGAAGACCAGUGGCGAAGGCGAGUUCCUGGACAGUUGCUGACACUGAGGCACGAAGGCCAGGGGAGCAAACGGGAUUAGAUACCCCGGUAGUCCUGGCAGUAAACGGUGCGCGUUUGGUGUGGGAGGAUUCGACCCCUUCCGUGCCGGAGCUAACGCGUUAAACGCGCCGCCUGGGGGGUACGGUCGCAAGAUUA
rnacentral:rRNA from 1 species